rnacentral:rRNA from 1 species
GACGAACCGUGCGAACGUUGUUCGGAAUCACUGGGCUUAAAGGGCGCGUAGGCGGGCGGUCAAGUCAGAGGUGAAAGCCCACGGCUCAACCGUGGAAGUGCCCCCUGAUACUGAUCGUCUCGAGGGAGGUAGGGGGCGUGCGGAACUUCCGGUGGAGCGGUGAAAUGCGUAGAUAUCGGAAGGAACACCGAUGGCGAAACGCAGCGCGCUGGAUCUCUACUGACGCUGAGGCGCGAAAGCCAGGGGAGCAAACGGGAUUAGACGU